ACUCCUACGGGAGGCAGCAGUGGGGAAUAUUGGACAAUGGGCGAAAGCCUGAUCCAGCAAUGCCGCGUGAGUGAUGAAGGCCUUAGGGUUGUAAAGCUCUUUCACCGGUGAAGAUAAUGACGGUAACCGGAGAAGAAGCCCCGGCUAACUUCGUG
rnacentral:rRNA from 1 species